rnacentral:misc_RNA from 1 species
GAGAUGCUGGGAAGAGAUAAGGGACAAGGCAGAAGCUGGGAGGCAGGGAUCGAGGUGGGAAAGAGAAAGGGAAAGUUUCUUCGCGGAAAGGGGAGCAGAGAGUAGAGAGGUAGUCGCGAGAAGGGAGAGGGGCGAGAUGGAGUUUAGGGAAAUAGAGGAGAGAGAGAGGGAAGAACAGAGAAAAGAGAGGUGGGAGAAAAUAAGGGAAUCGAGGUACAACAGAUGGUACAGGCUAGUGAAAGGAGAAGGGAUACCAGGAUAUCUGGGAAAGGGAUGGGGAGAAAGCAGGUGGAUAAGGGUGGCAAGACUUAGGUUAGGAAGCGAGAUGAAGGAGGCAAGGUACUGGGAAGAAGAGGAAAAGAGAAGGUGUAGGGUGUGCGGGGGGGAGGAGGAAACAUGGGAGCACGUAUGGGAAAGGUGCGUAGGCUGGGAUAGAAGGGAGGAAAGCUGGCAGGAGGUGGUGAGGGAGAUGCUAGGUGAGGAGGGGGGGGGAGAAGUCUGGAUGAGAGAAUUGGAAAGGAUCAGGGAUGUACAAGAGAAUGAAAGAGUGAGAUAUGAAUGGGAAAUGGAAGUCGAUUAGGAUAAGGACGAAUUAGGGAAUAGAAUAAGGUAAAAUAGGAUAAGGUUAAGUAAAGAUAAGGAUAAAAAGUAAGAAAAGGAUAAGAGGGAAAGUAAGGGAAUGGCAAGGCAAUGGCACAGGACACAGGCAAUUAGAAAUUAAGUAAGGAUAAGAGAUCAGAAGA